rnacentral:rRNA from 1 species
CCUACGGGAGGCAGCAGUGGGGAAUAUUGCACAAUGGGGGAAACCCUGAUGCAGCGACGCCGCGUGAGUGAAGAAGUAAUUCGUUAUGUAAAGCUCUAUCAGCAGGGAAGAAAAUGACGGUACCUGAGUAAGAAGCCCCGGCUAACUACGUGCCAGCAGCCGCGGUAAUACGUAGGGGGCAAGCGUUAUCCGGAUUUACUGGGUGUAAAGGGAGCGUAGACGGCAGUGCAAGUCUGGGGUGAAAGGCGGGGGCUCAACCCCCGGACUGCUCUUGAAACUGUACGGCUAGAGUGCAGGAGAGGUAAGUGGAAUUCCUAGUGUAGCGGUGAAAUGCUUAGAUAUUAGGAGGAACACCAGUGGCGAAGGCGGCUUACUGGACUGUAACUGACGUUGAGGCUCGAAAGCGUGGGGAGCAAACAGGAUUAGAUACCCUUGUAGUC